UACGUAGGCAGCGAGCGUUGUUCGGAGUUACUGGGCGUAAAGAGUGCGUAGGCGGUUUUCUAAGUUUGGUGUGAAAUCUCCCGGCUUAACUGGGAGGGUGCGCCGAAGACUGGAAGGCUUGAGUAUGGGAGAGGUAAGCGGAAUUCCUGGUGUAGCGGUGAAAUGCGUAGAUAUCAGGAGGAACACCUGCGGUGUAGACGUCUUACUGGACCAUCACUGACGCUGAGGCACGAAAGCGUGGGUAGCAAACAGG
rnacentral:rRNA from 1 species